rnacentral:rRNA from 1 species
ACGGAAGGCAGCAGUGGGGAAUAUUGGGCAAUGGGCGAAAGCCUGACCCAGCAACGCCGCGUGAGGGAAGAAGGCCUUCGGGUUGUAAACUUCUUUUAUCAGGGACGAAGAAUGUGACGGUACCUGAUGAAUAAGCCACGGCUAACUACGUGCCAGCAGCCGCGGUAAUACGUAGGUGGCAAGCGUUAUCCGGAUUUACUGGGUGUAAAGGGCGCGUAGGCGGGGAUGCAAGUCAGGUGUGAAAUCUAUGGGCUUAACCCAUAAACUGCUUUUGAAACUGUAUCUCUUGAGUGUCGGAGAGGUAGAUGGAAUUCCUAGUGUAGCGGUGAAAUGCGUAGAUAUUAGGAAGAACACCAGUGGCGAAGGCGAUCUGCUGGACGAUAACUGACGCUGAGGCGCGAAAGCGUGGGGAGCAAACAGGAUUAGAUACCCUGGUA